rnacentral:rRNA from 1 species
GUUCCCUUUUGGGACACGCAGGCAUUGUAGGCUCUGUGCUGGCAAACCGUCCUUUGUGGACAAAUCUUUGACAAUUUGACCUCAAAUCGGGUGGGACUACCCGCUGAACUUAAGCAUAUCAAUAAGCGGAGGAAAAGAAACUAACAAGGAUUCCCCUAGUAACGGCGAGUGAAGAGGGAAAAGCUCAAAUUUUGAAUCUGGUGUCUUUGGCGCCCGAGUUGUAAUCUAGAGAAGUGUUUUCUGCCUCGGACCACACAUAAAUUCCCUGGAAUGGGGUGUCAUAGAGGGUGAGAAUCCCGUUUGUGGUGUGGACUACCUUGGCUCUGUGAUACACUCUCAACGAGUCGAGUUGUUUGGGAAUGCAGCUCAAAAUGGGUGGUAAAUUCCAUCUAAAGCUAAAUAUUGGCGAGAGACCGAUAGCGAACAAGUACCGUGAGGGAAAGAUGAAAAGCACUUUGGAAAGAGAGUGAAACAGUACGUGAAAUUGUUGAAAGGGAAGCGUUUGAAGUCAGUCGCAUUGGUCGGAACUCAGCCUGGCUUCUGCCUGGUGUAUUUUCUGGCAAAUGGGUCAGUGUCAAUUUUGAUCGAGAGAGAAAGACUUGAGGAAUGUGGCUGUCUUCGGGCAGUGUUAUAGCCUCUUGUUGUAUGUCUCGGUUGGGAUUGAGGAACGCAGCACGCCUUUUGGCCGGGGUUCGCGCCCUCGGUACGUGCUUAGGACACUGGCAUAAUGGCUUUAAGCGACCCGUCUUGAAACACGGAC